CCUACGGGAGGCAGCAGUGAGGAAUAUUGGUCAAUGGGCGGAAGCCUGAACCAGCCAAGUAGCGUGCGGGAUGAAGGCCCUACGGGUCGUAAACCGCUUUUGCACGGGGAUAACACCCUCCACGUGUGGAGGUCUGCAGGUACCGUGCGAAUAAGGGCCGGCUAAUUCCGUGCCAGCAGCCGCGGUAAUACGGUAGGCCCGAGCGUUAUCCGGAUUCAUUGGGCUUAAAGGGAGCGUAGGCGGGCGUUCAAGUCAGCUGUAAAAGCGCGCGGCUCAACCGCGCGCCGCAGUUGAAACUGGACGCCUUGAGUUCACAACAGGCAGGCGGAAUUCGUGGUGUAGCGGUGAAAUGCAUAGAUAUCACGAGGAACCCCGAUUGCGAAGGCAGCCUGCCGGGGUGCGACUGACGCUGAGGCUCGAAGGUGCGGGUAUCAAACAGGAUUAGAUACCCGUGUAGUC
rnacentral:rRNA from 1 species